rnacentral:tRNA from 2 species
GCGCCCUUAGCUCAGCUGGAUAGAGCGUCGGACUUCGAAUCCGCAGGCCGCAGGUUCGAUUCCUGCAGGGCGCA